GUGCCCACUUAGGCAACACAUACACUAAAAAUGGAACAAUAGAGAGAAUAUUAGCAUGGCCCCUGGACAAGGAUGACACUCAAAUUUGUGAGUUGUUCCAUAUUUUU
ensembl:snRNA U6 U6 spliceosomal RNA